rnacentral:siRNA from 1 species
GUCCGGUUUGGCCCAAGUGUCCC